AGGUUAUAUUGGGAUGAAAACAAAAGUGUGCCUCCAGUUCAGUUUGGAGUGUGAUCCCUAGGAACCGGAAUGAAUAAAAUAGGCCGGGAAGGCUUGCAUGCCUUACAUCCUUAAUGCAGCUGGUGUGCCGCGCUGCUCGAAGGCAGAGACUUGGCGUCAUGGUCCUUAGUGGACCGGCCUUUAUCUCAGCAUUAAGAUCCCUGAUGGCAAAUAACAGUGAUUGCGCCUCAUUGGAAAAUAUUGUGGCUGCCAUUGUACUUCUUAAGAGAUUCCCCACCUCCUUCUUUUUCCCUGCGUUCAUUCCAACAUACUCUCUUGUAGAAUGUUCUCCACUCCUCUUCACUCAGAGGGAGGCAACGAAUUGGUCUACUCUCCAAGGAAAACUUUAUAGUAUAGCCAGGGACUGUGCCUGGCCAGAGUCUGCUGUUGCUAAGAAAAUCAAUUCAAUAAAUUUAAUUCAUUAAAAAUGUCCAUGAUUCAAAACAUUACUAAAGCAUCACAUUAUUAUUUACGUUGAAAAGUGGGACUGUAAACAGCCAAUGUUUAAUUUGAAGAAAUUAUUUGAGUAUUGGACAUGAAUUCAAAUCAGUUUUAUUAAAUAACUCCUUGUGCCCAUGACUAUGCUACGUGCCAGGUUCCUGAUUUUAGUGGAAGCAUCACUGCUCAUGGGAAACUUACUCUAUAGCAAUGAAUAUGAUGGAGCACAGUAUGGAUGGAUGGUGAUGUGGGUAUCUCCUUCCCCUUCAACUUGGUAUUGGAUCAGGAUCCACAUUUGCCAUUGUUCAGGGUUCCGGUUGUUUGUAAGCGAUGGUGUUUCUUCCCCAACGCGUUGCCUCCAGAAGUGUGUGAUAACCAUCCGAGCCUCAUCGCUAAGGUUAAUUUUGAUCUCGUGGCCGAAGUGUCAUCUGCUGUCCCCAUCGCCGUUUGCAGGAGGACUAUUUGCUAGGCGCUUUUCCAGAUGCUCGGAGUCCUUGCUUCGGCUCUUCACAACUGCCUUGUCGGUAUUCUUUCCACUUUACAGACGAAGAUGCAAGACUCAGAGUGUCCAUGGGACCUGCCAAAGGUCUUGCUGCUGGAAAGGGGUAAAGGGAUUCCUGAGACUUGUGCAGGUGCCAACAGGAAGAGACUCUUUGCUGGCCUUGAAGAUGUGGGAAGUCUGGCCAGCACCUGCUCUACUGUAGCCAUCCUGCCAUGCCAUGGGCUGGGCUUAUCUCCGAGUAAGAGCCGCCCAUGGAUCGAAUCUUCAGCCAGGUCUACAUCUGGACAUUUUUCUGAGAUGCCUCUGUUUGGUGUUUGCUAUGGGGAAGAAUAAAGAAAUAAGACAUACAUUAUUCAUUGACGUGAACAGGAGGAUUUCUGUGAUAUCCCCUCUGGCUUUGACAGGAUGACAGAACAGUCACUCAAGACCUAAGUGUGAACCACCCCUCUCCCCAUCCUGCUAUUUUUUGAAGACUAGAGACUUUACGCCAAUCAUCCAAUAAGUAAAAUGUCCCUCUGGAAUUUCACCUCGUGAAAAAUGAUACCACCAGCCACCGAACUGCCCAAGGGUGAAACAGGGAGCGGGUCUGUUUCUUCUCUUCCUUGUAUUCCAGAUGCCCUCAGAUCCUGAGACCAGUCUUUCUGCCCUAGUUAAAGAGGCUGCUUGCCAUCUUUUACUUCAUCUAUUUUCAUGCUUUCGAGUCAUCCAUUCCCCACUUCCAUUUCACCUCCACCCCGCAGUCCUCCACGCUGGACAGCGUCAUAACCCCAAUACAUUGUGUCCAAUCGCCCACCUUACGUUCAGACUCUGGUGUGUCCACUAGCUCUGCAGAGCCCCGGGGUUCAGUGAUGGUGUCUCAGGGGUCUAGGUAUGCCUGAAAAGAAAGCCCCCCACCCAACUUUUAACUGAGCGGUUCUGUUUUUAUCUGCUUUCUGUCAAAGGAUUCUGAAUCGUAUUUUAUUUGAAAAGUAAAAAGGCCUAAAACUGAAAAGAUUUGGAAACUACUGGCCCACAGGAAGAAAUUCACACUUCAUCCCACAACAUACAACCUGCAACAUACGUCCCAUCCUCUAUUAUACUGUGUCAUGGAAUAACAUAGAAGGUUAUCCGGGGAGAGGUCCCUGCCUGCCAGUCAAUCCAUCUUAUACUCUCAAUUCCAAGACACCUUUGAAACAUUUACAAUUAUGCUGAUUUUCUUACAUCGUACUAGGUGAUCUGUCUUCUCACGUCAUCUCCAAGCCUUGGCACAUUCUGUUUCCUCUGUCUGGAAUCUCUUGCCUCUGCUGGUUGCCUUAAAACUCCUAUUUAUUCUUCAAGUCUCAGCUCAAGGGCUUCUUGGGUGAGGGCUUUCUGAUCUUCUGGCCAAAGGUUGUCCAAUAGAAUGUGGUGCAAUGAAGAGCGUGCUCUGGUUCCCACAUGGCCCAAUCCAGCAGACACCAGCCACAGUGUCACUAGUGCAACCAGGAAACUCAAUUCCUAACUUUGUGUAUAAAAUCAUUUUAAUUAUCUCAAGAGCCAUACAUGAGUCGUGACGACUGCUUUGCGAGAGCAGCUCUAGAUAGACCUACUUUGAGAUUGAUUUCUGUUAUAGAAUUUUCCAUAAAAACUGCAUCACAA
rnacentral:lncRNA from 1 species